UCGCGCCGUUGUCGGCGGCGAAGCGAACGGCCUUGCUGGUAACCGGGCCGCUCAGCGAGGGUGCGGCGAUCGGCAGGAUCUUGGCCUCCGGGGCGAUCC
rnacentral:tRNA from 1 species